GAAAUGUUUCAUUGAAUAGCUACACCACUAAUGUUGUCAUUUAUUUUCUUCCAACUUUUUUGAAAGGUUUCAUUGAACCUAAUUCAUCUAUUCUAACUAAAGCAUGUGAAUGCCGGUAGAAAUAACCAUAUUUUUUUCCUUCUAUUUUUAUGGCAUUGUAUGCUUUGUGUAUUGCAUAGACUCUUAAAAUUUUGCACUUAAUUGAAAGACGUCUUAGUCGGUUGAUGAAAGUGAUUGCUUAUAAACUUUUUUUAAGUUUUGAUUUUCAAAUUCAAACAUGAGAUU
rnacentral:lncRNA from 1 species